AACUGAUACUACCUGCGGGAACCUGCGGAAGGAUCAUUAACGCGCCGUGGAGGUUGCCUUUAAACAGGUCUGACCUUCCACCUGGCCACCCUUGUUUAUCUUUAACCUGUUGCUUUGGUGGGCCCGCUACAAGGCCGCUGGAGAAUUUAAAAGUUUUCUGGCCCGUGCCCACCAAAGUCCUAGUGAACUCUUUGUUAAUUUUCUGCUGUCUGAGCAUUAAAAGAAACAAUUUUUAAAACU
rnacentral:misc_RNA from 1 species